AGAGUUUGAUCCUGGCUCAGGAUGAACGCUGGCGGCGUGCCUAAUACAUGCAAGUCGAACGCUGGAAAUCUAGCUUGCUAGAUUGAAGGAGUGGCGAACGGGUGAGUAAUACAUAAGCAACCUACCCACGAAGACUGGGAUAAUCUCUGGAAACGGGGACUAAUACCGGAUAGGUAAUCGGAAGGCAUCUUCUGAUUAUUAAAGGUUAAAAACACUGGUGGAUGGGCUUAUGGCGCAUUAGUUAGUUGGUGAGGUAACGGCCCACCAAGACGAUGAUGCGUAGCCGGCCUGAGAGGGUGAACGGCCACAUUGGGACUGAGACACGGCCCAGACUCCUACGGGAGGCAGCAGUAGGGAAUUUUCGGCAAUGGGGGAAACCCUGACCGAGCAACGCCGCGUGAGUGAUGACGGCCUUCGGGUUGUAAAGCUCUGUUGUAAGGGAAGAACGGUAGAUAGAGAAUAUCUAAGUGACGGUACCUUACCAGAAAGCCACGGCUAACUACGUGCCAGCAGCCGCGGUAAUACGUAGGUGGCGAGCGUUAUCCGGAAUUAUUGGGCGUAAAGGGUGCGUAGGCGGCCUGUUAAGUAAGUGGUUAAAUUGUUGGGCUCAACCCAAUCCAGCCACUUAAACUGGCAGGCUAGAGUAUUGGAGAGGCAAGUGGAAUUCCAUGUGUAGCGGUAAAAUGCGUAGAUAUAUGGAGGAACACCAGUGGCGAAGGCGGCUUGCUAGCCAAAGACUGACGCUCAUGCACGAAAGCGUGGGGAGCAAAUAGGAUUAGAUACCCUAGUAGUCCACGCCGUAA
rnacentral:rRNA from 2 species